UUGGGCGUAAAGGGUCCGCAGGUGGCGAAUAAAGUCUGCUGUUAAAGACCGGGGCUAAACUCCGGAAAGGCAGUGGAAACUGAUUAGCUAGAGUACGGUAGGGGUAGAGGGAAUUCCCAGUGUAGCGGUGAAAUGCGUAGAUAUUGGGAAGAACACCGGUGGCGAAAGCGCUCUACUAGACCGAAACUGACACUGAGGGACGAAAGCUAGGGUAGCGAAAGGGAUUAGAUACCCCUGUAGUCUUAGCGGUAAACGAUGGAUACUAGGUGUAGCUUGUAUCGACCCGAGCUGUGCCGAAGCUAACGCGAUAAGUAUCCCGCCUGGGGAGUACGCACGCAAGUGUGAAACUCAAAGGAAUUGACGGGGGCCCGCACAAGCGGUGGAGUAUAUGGUUUAAUUCGAUGCAACGCGAAGAACCUUACCAGGGCUUGACAUGUCGCGAAUCUAGCGGAAACGUUAGAGUGCCUUAGGGAAUGCGAACACAGGUGGUGCAUGGCUGUCGUCGGCUCGUGUCGUGAGAUGUUGGGUUAAGUCCCGCAACGAGCGCAACCCUCGUCCUUAGUUGCCAAUAUUAAGUUAGGCACUCUAGGGAGACUGCCGGGGACAACUCGGAGGAAGGUGGGGAUGACGUCAGGUCAGCAUGCCCCUUACGUCCUGGGCGACACACGUACUACAAUGGUUGGGACAAAGGGCAGCAAACUCGCGAGAGUAAGCGAAUCUCAUCAAACCCAGCCACAGUUCAGAUUGCAGGCUGCAACUCGCCUGCAUGAAGUAGGAAUCGCUAGUAAUCGCAGGUCAGCAUACUGCGGUGAAUUCGUUCCCGGGCCUUGUACACACCGCCCGUCACACCAUGGAAGCUGGCUACGCCCGAAGUCGUUACCCUAACCCGGUUUUGGGAGGGGGAUGCCGAAGGUAGAGCUAGUGACUGGGGUGAAGUCGUAACAAGGUAGCCGUACCGGAAGGUGUGGCUGGAACACCUCCUUU
rnacentral:rRNA from 1 species